AAUAUUGCGCAAUGGACGGAAGUCUGACGCAGCGACGCCGCGUGAGCGAUGAAGGUCUUCGGAUCGUAAAGCUCUGUCCUUGGGGAAGAAGGCGAAAGCUUGACGGUACCCAAGAAGAAAGCCCCGGCUAACUACGUGCCAGCAGCCGCAGUAAUACGUAGGGGGCGAGCGUUGUCCGGAAUUACUGGGCGGAAAGGGUGCGUAGGCGGCCCUUUAAGUCGGAUGUGAAAGCCCGCGGCUUAACCGCGGAAUGGCAUUCGAAACUGGAGGGCUUGAGUGUCGGAGAGGGUAGUGGAAUUCCCAGUGUAGCGGUGAAAUGCGUAGAUAUUGGGAGGAACACCAGUGGCGAAGGCGACUACCUGGACGAUAACUGACGCUGAGGCACGAAAGCUAGGGGAGCAAACA
rnacentral:rRNA from 1 species